AAAUCACCAAAUAUAGCCAGCAGGAGUUUGAGAGACUUCAAAAUGAAGAACUUAAUUAUCCCAAUCCUUCUUACCCCACGACACACAGGUAGCUCACUCAUUCAGCACCCCAUUUGCAACGCCAUACGAAGCUCGUCUGUCUCAAUUGCUCCGUAGCCAGAACUUGAAUAUCCUUUUGUUGAUUCUAUCCUCCUCUGGUUAUUGUUGCAUCAUUAUUG
rnacentral:misc_RNA from 1 species